rnacentral:rRNA from 1 species
UACUAGAGUAGCACUCGCAUAUCAAUAAGCGGAGGAAAAGAAACUAACAAGGAUUCCCUUAGUAACGGCGAGUGAAGCGGGAAGAGCUCAAAUUUGAAAUCUUCAAGGUUCUACCUUGACGAAUUGUAGUUUAUAGAAGUGUUUUCUGUUAGUGGAGUGGCAAAAGUUCUUUGGAAUAGGACAUCAUAGAGGGUGAGAAUCCCGUAUUUGGUCAUUCCUCCUAGCGUUGUGAUACACUUUCAACGAGUCGGAUUGUUUGGGAAUGCAGUCCAAAAUGGGUGGUAAAUUUCAUCUAAAGCUAUAUAUUGGCGAGAGACCGAUAGCGAACAAGUACCGUGAGGGAAAGAUGAAAAGGAACUUUGAAAAGAGAGUUAAACAGUACGUGAAAUUGUCAAAAGGGAAGCGUUUGACACCAGUGUUGUUUUUCCGAAAAUCAAUUACGAAUGUUUUAGUUUUUGAGGAGUUAUGACUUCAUCGGCUUGCUCCUUUCUUUAUGAAACUUUCUUAAUGCACUUUUCGGUUAACAAGUCAACAUCAAUUUCUUUUGUUGUAAAAGGGUAUGAGGAAGGUGGCUUUCUUUUCAGGAGAAAGUGUUUAUAGCCUUGUGACCUCUGCAAUCGGAGAGAUUGAGGUCUGCAGCGUAGAUCCUUCGGGGUUAGAUACAUUUGUGCUAAGUUAUAGCUUUUCAUAGACAACUUGUUGACUAUGUUAAGUCUUGUAGCUUACUCGCUUAGUGCUAUUUUACCUACGCUUAGGAUGUUGAAGAUGUAGCACAUCAU